UACGUAGGUGGCAAGCGUUGUCCGGAUUUACUGGGCGUAAAGAGCGCGCAGGCGGUCGUACAAGUCGCGUGUGAAAGCCCCCGGCUCAACUGGGGAGGGUCACGCGAUACUGUUCGACUCGAAGGCAGGAGAGGGAAGUGGAAUUCCGGGUGUAGUGGUGAAAUGCGUAGAUAUCCGGAGGAACACCGGUGGCGAAGGCGGCAUCCUGGACCACGACUGACGCUGAGGAGCGAAAGCCAGGGGAGCAAACGGG
rnacentral:rRNA from 1 species